ACAGCAAGAAGUGGGCAAUCUGUAGUCGGUAAAAGACAUUCACCAGAACUUGACAGUGCUGCCACCCUGAUCUUUGACGUACAUCCUGCAGAACUUGAGCAGCCUUCCGGUUGAGCAUUCUUCUGUUCCAAGGAAGGGUGGCAAACUCCUGGAAGGAAGGGCUGAGCACCUUCACCCUGGGGGGAAAUCAACUCAGUAGAGGACACCUAAGAGAACAUUUCACAGGAGCAGACAAGUGAGAAGACUCAGCAUACAGGAGACUGGACCCUUGAAGAUAAGCAACUCUGAGUUGAGCCAUGGUGUAGUGACCAUUCCUAAUAUAUGGCUGAUGGACAACAAAAGAGAACAGAGAUAAAAGUCAUUGGAACUGACUCCCUCAAGGUAAUGACCUGCGAGGGCAGAGAUGCCUCCAUUUGGAUGCCAAAGUCCCUGGGAUGAAUACUGUAUAAUACUAUGCUCAGGUCAUGAAGACAGCCAUAGACUAUCCAGAAGACAUCAGCUUGAAAUCAAAAGCCAGUAAAUAGAGUAGUAUGAGAGGGUCAGCCUUCCAAAGAGGUGCUAUGCCCAGAAGUUGAGAAAUUGGAUCCUAGACCUGGCCACCACUAAUUUCCUGUUGACCCUAGGCAAAUCAUGUAACAUCUUUGAGCCUUGGUUUAACUCAUAUGUGAGAGAAGAGGGCUAGAUUGUAUGAUCUCUAUGGCUUCCUCUAGCUCUGACAUCUAAUCCCAUCUGGUUCAGGGGGAGGGAUUUAAGGGAAGCACAGAGGCCCUAGAUGAUGGGUUAUUGCUGCCAAAAUCACCCUUUCCCCUCCCUUCUCCUGUUCUCUCAUUGACAUGCCCUUUAUUAUCUUGUUGUUGUUGAUGUAGUGUUUUUUCCCACAGAGCUCUGUGGGAUAGGACAGCAGAGCACACACAGAGCAGAUAGGAAAGGAGAACAGGAGUGGGAACAGGAGGAAGGGCCUCUCCAGGAUUCCCAAAGCCCUUGCUCUCCAGAGCUGCAGGCUGAGAAGGCGUGUCUCCCAGGCUGGGAAUCUGAGAAGGUGAAGAUCUCGCAACAUUCUCCAGCCCCUCCAAACUCUGCAACCUUUUCACAAAUGUUCCCAGUUCCAGCACCAGAUCAUUGAUCACUGUUCUCCCCCA